rnacentral:rRNA from 1 species
UACCUACGGGGCGCAGCAGUAGGGAAUCUUCCACAAUGGACGAAAGUCUGAUGGAGCAACGCCGCGUGAGUGAAGAAGGGUUUCGGCUCGUAAAGCUCUGUUGAUAGUGAAGAAAGAUAGAGGUAGUAACUGGCCUUUAUUUGACGGUAAUUACUUAGAAAGUCACGGCUAACUACGUGCCCGCAGCCGCGGUAAUACGUAGGUGGCAAGCGUUGUCCGGUUUUAUUGGGCGU